rnacentral:tRNA from 2 species
GCCGUCGUAGCUCAGUUGGUUAGAGCGCCUGAUUGUGGAUCAGGAGGUCCUUGGUUCAAGCCCAAGCUUCGGUACCA